GCAGGUUCCAUCCGGGAUGGCGCGCGCGGGAACGGCGGGGCGCACCGGAGGGGCGCACUGCGCGCGCGCGGAGGUUGGGGGUCUCAGACAACUUGCACGUCUUGGACUUCACUGCACCCGGAGUUAGGAGGCCUAGGUCAAGUCAUAGCCCUGACCCUUGCUGGGAGUGACCUCGGACAAGUCACUGGUCCCUGAGCCCCGGAUCUCUGAAAAGUAACGCCGGCCUUGCAUGCAUCCUUUGGCCCUUGUCACAGCGCUGGCCUCUGCUCCUCCAGCUCUUCGUUCCUCAUCAGAAACCUCCCAGGUCCUUAACUGGCUCUUCUUGGGCAUAUGAAUGUUGAAGAUAAAAAACCUCUAUUUUCUGAUUCAGGAUUCAUCAUAAAGUUAUCCUUUCAUUUUUCUGUCCUCAUCCACCCAUUGUUUUAUUUAUUCUUCAGUCUCUUAAACUGUUUUCCAUACCUCCAGCCUCCAUAUCAGCUGUCGGAUAACAUCCUCUAACUC